CUCAAUAAAGCUGUCUUGAGCAAGAUUAUAAAAAGAAGACUGUGACAAACUCCCCUGUCCUCGUGAGUUUGCCACGAGCUACUGGAGGUGCCUGCUUGCCAGUCCCCUGCCCACCGACUAUGGGCAGGUCAGCGACUGUAAAGACCAAUCUUUUAUUUCCCCUGGUUCGGCACUUACCAUUCGUACACAUAGAACCGAACGCUAGCUCCCUGGAAGCCGUUCGCAUCGCUCAAAACCGCAAAUAAACUUCAGGUGGACUUAGCCACGAAAGCCCUGGAACUAUUUUUGUCAUGAAGACUUUGCGGUCCGUCCCCAGUGGCACUUAGCAGCGAUUCCAUGGAACUAUUUUCGGCAGGGGACCAUGUGGUCAAAUUAUGACUUCAAGGAAAUUCUUGAACCCCUGAAAUGAUCCGGGUGAUUUUUGAAUAUGUUGGUCACCCAGAUCAGGGCUAUCAGGGCAUGUAACAUUUGUGGGGGUCUGUGGCUGCCAUUAAAGGAUUCCACCUUGUACUCCCAGAACUUUGUGUCGUCUGGUUACUGGGAGGGGAAAGGGCUAAUCACUGUUCCAGCUUGUUCCAGCAUGUAGGAUUCAAUGGGGAAAGUCCUUGUAAGGACUAGAGCUCCUAGGACUGAGUGUUGUCCAGUGCCUGGGGGUGUCUAGAGCGGAUUCCCCAUUCGGCACCAGGAGGGAGCGGUUCCAGGACCCUAGUCAAGCCACGGCGAGUGUGGCAGAAGUGCUGCGGUUUGUCCCCUGUUCCAGCUAGGAAGCGGUCCUUUGGCGGAGGUACCCAGCUGGAGUACAGGGAGCUCCGUUACAAAGACUUUUAUAAAAAAUUUAAUUAUUGAAGAACAAGAGAUUUCUUUGUUUCAGGAAUGCCG